GUGAGUAUAUAGUAAGUAUAGUGAGUAUAUAGUAAGGAGUGGGGUUCAUACCCGGGUGGUGUGUCCACAGACGUCGCACAUGUACCGCUUGAGGUACUCGGUGUCGGGGUGUGGGAGUAUAUAGUAAGUAUAGUGAGUAUAUAGUAAGUAUAGUGAGUAUAUAGUAAGUAUAGUGAGUAUAUAGUAAGGAGUGGGGUUCAUACCCGGGUGGUGUGUCCACAGACGUCGCACAUGUACCGCUUGAGGUACUCGGUGUCGGGGUGCCGGAGUAUAUAGUAAGUAUAGUGAGUAUAUAGUAAGGAGUGGGGUUCAUACCCGGGUGGUGUGUCCACAGACGUCGCACAUGUACCGCUUGAGGUACUCGGUGUCGGGGUGCCGGAGUAUAUAGUAAGUAUAGUGAGUAUAUAGUAAGUAUAGUGAGUAUAUAGUAAGUAUAGUGAGUAUAUAGUAAGUAUAGUGAGUAUAUAGUAAGUAUAGUGAGUAUAUAGUAAGGAGUGGGG